AACCCCGUGGUGUAAUGGCAGCACAAGUGGUUUUGGUCCACUUAGUCUAGGUUCGAAUCCUGGCGGGGUUGCCA
rnacentral:tRNA from 1 species